UGAUGCAUAGCCCGAGUUGAGAGACUGAUCGGCCACAUUGGGGACUGAGACACGGCCCAAACUCCUACGGGAGGCAGCAGUAGGGAAUCUUCCACAAUGGACGCAAGUCUGAUGGAGCAAACGCCGCGUGAGUGAAGAAGGUUUUCGGAUCGUAAAGCUCUGUUGUUGGUGAAGAAGGAUAGAGGUAGUAACUGGCCCUUUAUCUGACGGUAAUCAACCCAGAAAGUCACGGGCUAACUACGUGCCCAGCAGCCGCGGUAAAU
rnacentral:rRNA from 1 species